UUNUGAACUGGGUGACUAGAGUGUGUCAGAGGGAGGUAGAAUUCCACGUGUAGCAGUGAAAUGCGUAGAGAUGUGGAGGAAUACCGAUGGCGAAGGCAGCCUCCUGGGAUAACACUGACGUUCAUGCCCGAAAGCGUGGGUAGCAANCAGGAUUAGAUACCCUGGUAGUNCACGCCCUAAACGAUGUCGAUUAGCUGUUGGGCAGCAUGACUGCUUAGUAGCGAAGCUAACGCGUGAAAUCGACCGCCUGGGGAGUACGGUCGCAAGAUUAAAACUCAAAGGAAUUGACGGGGACCCGCACAAGCGGUGGAUGAUGUGGAUUAAUUCGAUGCAACGCGAAGAACCUUACCUGGUCUUGACAUGUACGGAACCCUCCAGAGACGGAGGGGUGCCUUCGGGAGCCGUAACACAGGUGCUGCAUGGCUGUCGUCAGCUCGUGUCGUGAGAUGUUGGGUUAAGUCCCGCAACGAGCGCAACCCUUGUCAUUAGUUGCCAUCAUUAAGUUGGGCACUCUAAUGAGACUGCCGGUGACGAGCCGGAGGAAGGUGGGGAUGACGUCAAGUCCUCAUGGCCCUUAUGACCAGGGCUUCACACGUCAUACAAUGGUCGGUACAGAGGGUAGCCAAGCCGCGAGGUGGAGCCAAUCUCACAAAACCGAUCGUAGUCCGGAUUGCACUCUGCAACUCGAGUGCAUGAAGUCGGAAUCGCUAGUAAUCGCAGGUCAGCAUACUGCGGUGAAUACGUUCCCGGGUCUUGUACACACC
rnacentral:rRNA from 1 species